rnacentral:rRNA from 1 species
UACGAAGGGGGCUAGCGUUGUUCGGAAUUACUGGGCGUAAAGCGUAUGCAGGCGGACUUUUUAGUCGGGGGUGAAAUCCCGAGGCUCAACCUCGGAACUGCCUUCGAUACUGGAAGUCUUGAGUCCGGGAGAGGUGAGUGGAACUCCGAGUGUAGAGGUGAAAUUCGUAGAUAUUCGGAAGAACACCAGUGGCGAAGGCGGCUCACUGGCCCGGUACUGACGCUGAGAUACGAAAGCGUGGGGAGCAAACAGG